GGCACUGUAGCUUAGCUGGUUAAAGCAUCUGUCUCGUAAACAGAAGAUCUUGGGUUCAAAUCCCAGCAGUGCCU